UACAGAGGGUGCAAGCGUUAAUCGGAGUUACUGGGCGUAAAGGGCGCGUAGGCGGUGAAUUGGGUGUGGUGUGAAAGCCCCGGGCUCAACCUGGGAAUGGCCGUUGAAACUGGCGAACUGGAGUGUGGCAGAGGGGGGUGGAAUUCCGCGUGUAGCAGUGAAAUGCGUAGAGAUGCGGAGGAACACCGAUGGCGAAGGCAGCCCCCUGGGCUGACACUGACGCUCAGGCACGAAAGCGUGGGGAGCAAACAGG
rnacentral:rRNA from 1 species